UACAGAGGGGGCAAGCGUUGUUCGGAAUUACUGGGCGUAAAGAGCGCGCAGGCGGUCGUUCAAGUCGCGUGUGAAAGCCCCCGGCUCAACUGGGGAGGGUCACGCGAUACUGAUCGACUCGAAGGCAGGAGAGGAUGGCGGAAUUCCCGGUGUAGCAGUGAUAUGCGUAGAUAUCGGGAGGAACACCUGUGGCGAAGGCGGCUUUCUGGGCCUUACCUGACGCUGAGACGCGAAAGCGUGGGGAGCGAACCGG
rnacentral:rRNA from 1 species